GGACGUGAGGGUGACCUGCCUCCGAUGUGCUGCUCCCUGGAUCCCUUACCACUCCUGUGUGUCCCUCUGUAAGUCGUGCUCUUGGUCUAAGAGGAGGACCUUCCCUGAUAGGGGAGCACCCUUCUUCCCUCAAGGGCAGAUGAGUAGCUGCACUUUUUGCUAAAGCCUCCAAACAGCUCUCAAGGUCCCUGUGUAGGAGAAUGUAGGGUCGUGAGGCUUCCAGGACUACAGACACAUCCAGGCGAGGGGCUGCAUGCGGCGGCCUGCCUUUCCCU
rnacentral:snRNA from 1 species